AUUGAACGCUGGCGGCAUGCCUUACACAUGCAAGUCGAACGGCAGCACGGGUCCUUGCCCCUGGUGGCGAGUGGCGAACGGGUGAGUAAUACAUCGGAACAUGUCCUGUAGUGGGGUAUAGCCCGGCGAAAGCCGGAUUAAUACCGCAUACGAUCUACGGAUGAAAGCGGGGGACCUUCGGGCCUCGCGCUAUAGGGUUGGCCGAUGGCUGAUUAGCUAGUUGGUGGGGUAAAGGCCUACCAAGGCGACGAUCAGUAGCUGGUCUGAGAGGACGACCAGCCACACUGGGACUGAGACACGGCCCAGACUCCUACGGGAGGCAGCAGUGGGGAAUUUUGGACAAUGGGCGAAAGCCUGAUCCAGCAAUGCCGCGUGUGUGAAGAAGGCCUUCGGGUUGUAAAGCACUUUUGUCCGGAAAGAAAUCCUUGGCCCUAAUACGGUCGGGGGAUGACGGUACCGGAAGAAUAAGCACCGGCUAACUACGUG
rnacentral:rRNA from 1 species